rnacentral:rRNA from 1 species
GACGAACGCUGGCGGCGUGCUUAACACAUGCAAGUCGAACGGAAAGGCCCUGCUUUUUUGGGGUGCUCGAGUGGCGAACGGGUGAGAAACACGUGAGUAACCUGCCCUUGACGUUGGGAUAACUUCAGGAGACUGGGGCUAAUACCGGAGAGGAGCUCCUGCUGCAUGGUGGGGGUUGGAAAGUUUGGGCGGUGUGUGAUGGACUCGCGGCUUAUCAGCUGGUGGGUGGGGUAGUGGCUUAGCACGGGUUUGACGGGUAGCCGGCCUGAGAGGGUGACCGGCCACAUUGGGACUGCGUUAGGGAGCAGACUGCGACGGGUGUCAGCAGUGGGGAAGAUGGCACAAUGGGCGGAGGCGUGUGGCAGCAGCGCGGCGUGCGGUAUGGCGGCCUUCGGGCUGGUAACCGCUUUCGCCUGUUACGAAGCGGGAGUGACGGUAACGGGUAAAGAAGCACCGGCUAACUACGUG